rnacentral:rRNA from 1 species
UACGAAGGGGGCUAGCGUUGUUCGGAAUUACUGGGCGUAAAGGGCGCGUAGGCGGCCCGCUCAGUCAGAUGUGAAAGCCCCGGGCUCAACCUGGGAACUGCAUUUGAUACUGGCGGGCUUGAGUUCCGGAGAGGAUGGUGGAAUUCCCAGUGUAGAGGUGAAAUUCGUAGAUAUUGGGAAGAACACCGGUGGCGAAGGCGGCCAUCUGGACGGACACUGACGCUGAGGCGCGAAGGCUAGGGUAGCGAACGGG